GCUUGGAUUGUAGGGAUGAGCCACUGUGCCUAGCCCACCCAUGAUUCCUUUAAAUUCAGCAUGUGCAAAAAUAAAAAUUCUCAUCACUCCCCCAAAACCUUCUUCUCCUACAUCUCCUAGGAGAAUGUGCAUUUCUAACAAGGUCCCAAAUGAUACUGAUGCUGCUAGUCCAGGAUCCACUUCUUGAGAAUCACUGUUCAAACACAUGUGCCUCUUUCUACCUCCAGGCUAUCAAGUUCUUUCUGUUUCUCCUAGGCCAUGACAUGUAUGUAGCAGGCACUGUUAAUAUUUCACAGCACUCUAUCCUAUUGAAAUUGGAGUCUUGCAACAUAGCAUCCCAAGCACUAAUUACCAAAUAAUAGAAGCCUAGAGAUGAAACAAUAGUCAUCCCAGCAAACUGGAAGUUUCUCGAGGACAGGAACAGUAUUCCCCAUGUAUUCCUAAAACCUAACCUUAACCAAGUAGGUGCUCAACAAAUAUUUGCUGGGUGGAUAGCAUUAUCCAAAGCCAGAAACCAAAGCAGAAUUCACCACCUCUUUUCUUCCCCAUAAUCCAAUAGUUACCAAGUUCUUUCUUCUACCGCCUAAAUGUAUCUCCUGUAGGAUCCCUACUAUCUAUCUGCAUUGUUACUGUAUUCUUUCACAUCCUUCUGUCUCAUAUAAAUUACUAUAAUUAUUUCUGAAUCCUCAUGUCUAGAUUCAUCUAUCCUAUUAUCCACCCGGCCAUCAGAAUGGUCUCUUUAAAAAAGUAAAUGAGACAAUGUCAUUCUCCUGCUUGAAAAUAACUUCCCACUGCUUUUAGGAGAAAAAAGAUUAACUCCUUCAUGAUAUGCAAAUCCCUCUAUGAUCUAGUGUCAAUCCACCAGACACUACCCCCUUCCUCUCCAGCCACGCUAAACUAACACUGUAGUUCUCUGGAUGGCUUGUAUAUCUCAUGCUUCCAUGACUUCGAACAGAAGCUCUCUAUGUGGUGUGCCCUUCCUCACUGGCUAAAUACUCAUCCUUUCAAGACUCAGUUCAGACACCAUUUCUUCCAGGAAACUUUAAGUGACAUUCAUCCCCAGUGUGGAUUAAGCCUCUUCCCUGCCAUGUGCUCUUACAGCAUCCCAUGUUUAGUCUGUUAAUAGCACAUAGCACACUGCAUAAUCACUGUCUUAUUUACCCUACUUGAUUAAUUUCCUUGUAGAUAACAAUUAUGUCUUAAGUACAUAUAGUUAGUGCUAGGUACAUUAAGAGACGCUUGACUCAACUUUACACAUUCCUUCCUAUUCUCUAAACAGUGGUUCUCAAAGUUCAGCCUAUAUCACAAUUACCUGGAAGACCUAUAAAACUUAAGACUGCUUGGCUCAUCUCCAGAAUUUUGGAUUCAGUUGUUCCAGGGUGGGGCCUGACAAGUUUCCAGAUGAUGCUGUUGCUGUUGGUUCGGGAACCAUCAGUGCUCCAAAUGUACAUUGUCUCUUCCUCCCUUUAGGAUUUAAAGUGCCUUCUUCUAGAUGCCUCCAACUCUGCCUACUGCAACGCUGAUCUUUUUAGACCCAGCUAGCUCAAUUACCACCUCCUUCAUAAAACUUUUCCUAAUCCCAGGUGAAAAUGAUCUUGCUCCUUCUUAAAUUUCUAUCAUGCUUUGUGUGUACUAUUCAUAUGACACUCAUCACAUGCUAACUUACUUCACGGUUACUGCCAUUUGUCUUACAUUCUCUACUUAAAUGAAGGUAGGAAACCUGCCUUAAUCAUUGCAAUAUCCUCCACAACAGAGAGCACAACAACCAGUAAACGGCAGACAAAAUCUACAAGUAUUUGUUGAUAGGAAUGAAUCCCUGUUGCUUGCCCCAGACUCCAGGCCCACUGUCUGACUUAAUAUCCUCCUGGCCCAAGGUGACUUCCUUAUACUGCCUUACUACCUAUAACAGUUGCCUGAUCCUUCCAUACUUGUCUGUCCCUCUCAUUGCUGACUGACCCUUAGUCAGCUUCUUUACUUUAUACCUUGAACCAUUUUAAUUUUCUCAUUCACUAUGGGACAAAAUGAGUGGAUAAAUUUUCUCAGGACAGAUGUGAAUUUUAAUUCCGCUGGUCAUAAGACAGGUUUUUUUUUUUCUAAAAAGUGGCCUUUGCCACAGAAUCUGAACUAGAAUAUGUUGUGUAAAACUCUACAUACAGUUAUAGACGGCAAUAAAUUUGUUUUAAGUUCUAGAUGCAGAUCAUGGAGAUAAAAAAAAAUUUAAAAGUUUAAAAGCACAAAGACAUGAAAAGGCCUUUAUAAAAUUUAAAGUUCCCUUAAGAAACAAAACGUAAAACAAUUACCUUUAUAUUAUGUUCAUUUAAGUAUCCAGAACAAAAUCCGUAUUAUCUAUUUCAACAAAAACAUAUAUAAAACACCUCGUUCAGGGGAAAUUCCUAGGAGCUCACUAUUUACAAGAUUUUUUUUUUUAACAUAUAACCUUCAUUCUCCCUGGACGCUUAACAAUUUAAAACUCAAAUAAGGGUGAAGGGAGGGAAAGACUUUAACUUUCAGGAAAAAAAAAAAUAAACUACGUUUAAGGCACCAACUAAAAUUAAUACCUGUCAGAAAAGAUCCUUGAGAGUACAUUUAAAUCUUAUAAGCCUUUUUACUUUCCAUACUUGAAUUAACUAGUGAUAUUUCAUACUGUAAAUGCUGUUGACAGAAUGUAAAUAAUAAGAGUUCUAAGAGAGAUUUUCCAAAGGGUGUGAAAGUUUUCAGAAUUGUAUGUUCAAUUAACCAGAAAAAUUAACCAGAUCACUCCAAAGCCUGAUUUAUUUGGGUUAAUCGACAUCCCAUAUGGCAAAGUUGAGUUAUGGGUAUGGUCUUGAUACUUUCAAACCAGUACUGUAUUCAGCAGACCAAAAUAACCCUAAAGUUGGAAAGCCACUGCCAACAUUAUGUAGGUCCUGAAAUGGUAUUGGGAGGAUGAAAGAGGAAAAAAAAAAACCCAACAGUUGAAUUAGGAAAUAAAUACUGAAAAGGGAGCUGGGAAGAAAAGGAACAUAAUGACCUGGCAGGAAACAACAUCGUCUGAUACACCGUAAAAUAUUUUAAAAGACAAGAAAACAGAGUUAACAGGAAAAUAAGAAAUUGAAGAGCUAAAAGAGAACUUCCCAGUUUCAGUCUGUUGUUCAAAAAACAGAGGACGGGGUGCACCGCAAGAGAGUUACUAUUUGGAAACCAUACCACUUCGCUGUAUAAUAUAUAAACAACAAAAGGCUAGAUCAUUGUUCCUCAAAUGUGCUGUUUAUAAAGCUAAGUAAAAACAUUCCCUGCAAUGAACAAAGAUCUUCAAGAUCCUGACCUUCAAGUAAAGCAUGUGCAUAAGGAAAUUCUAUUAAAGCACUGAAAUGCAAUUCUUCACUUCAAAAGACUAUGCCAACAAAAAGAUUAUAUGAUGAAUGGCUAUGAUCUUCCUAAAUUGUUUUGUGACUUUCAGGUGCCAAAGUUGCCUCUCUGAGCUGCCUCGCAAGUUGGCAAGGAAAAACUUUCUCUACACAUCAAAAUCGGCAAUCAUUUAAGUCUGCUCUUAAUCUGGGUUUUAAGUGCACCAGUAAGCACUUACUCAUUUGCCCUAUAUUUUAAAUAAAAGCUGACUUACCUGAAUAUUCUAAUUUCACGUUCUUCCCUUAAAAUCGAUUUCACCAAAUCGAUUUUAAGUUGUAAGCAACAGCAUUCCUCCCUUCAGUAAUCCACCACGUACACUGAAGCACUUAAAUUCUACAUACAGGGUGGGAUACCAUACAGUGGAAAAGAUGCGAGAAAUUACCCACCGUCAACCAGUUUAAGUCUUCUGACAACUGUUCAAAGACUUUUAGAGAAAGCCUAAUAACUGAAUCGCAUGAUGGAGUAUCUGAUAUACGCGGAAUAGCACUCUGAACUUUCUCUACUGUGUAUACAACUCUUGAUUACAAAGAGGAAACUAACGACUAGGGCUUCCCCGAGCGAGAGAACCGGUAAGGUAACAGGCUAAAAGGGCGUCGUUGAUUUCUUGGCUGCAGCGACAGAGGCGGGAGACACACCCCUAGCGUCGGUCUGAAACACUACAGCAGCGAAUUCUACCUAGGGAUUAAUGUGAGGGUAAGGAAAGACAAAUUAAAAUCGCCAUGAUUCAAAAACAACCACUCCAAGAGAGAGACACAAGAAGGUACCAAAGAAAAUGAAAAAACCCUUGGUAGUAACGGAAGCAUGAAAAAUUAAGCGCCCCCAUUUCUCCCAAACCAAGUUCGCGUAUGUUUUCGUGAACAAACACCUUGGAUCUUUCCGGUUCGCCAGGGCAGCGAGCAAAGCAGCAGCGAACGGAAACCCCGCAGGGCUGCGCACCGCAGCUAAACCGACGCUCGCAGGAGAGGGGAAGUGAGUGGCAGGGUUCCCUGCCAAGACUCACUGCUGGGAAACAGGCAGUGAGUGGAAGCAGCAGCAGCUCUGGAGAGUAAGUGGGUCUUAUGUAAAGUGCCAUUUGCCACAUAUUGUUAUUUCCAAAGGAUUUCAGAAUACCCUCGAACUCGAAAAACAGAUUACAUAGAGCCAAGAUUUAAGUGCCACUUUGCUGCUCUUCCAGUAAACAAGACAGAUAACCAACUCAUGAGUUGCUCCAUUUUGCAUUUCUACCAGCAAUGUGACUACUCUCCCCUACCUUCAUCAACACAAGCCAUGCAGCCACCGCAGCAGGUGAUGCCUGGAUUCUGCUGCAUCCAGGCUGCAGAUGCCUGAUACCUGACACCCUCGGAACUGACGUCUGCACUGAGAGCACAUCUCCCAACUGCAGAGCCCAGGUGAUGGUGCUGCUGCCAGCAGAAGUGCUGAUGGGCCAAGCUCCUACAAAGCUUUCUUGGUCUUCUGGAGCCUUCAGUGUGUUGAAGCCACACCAAAGCAGAAGGCGCUUUCUCAUUAGUGGAAUAGUAUGUUAAUUGGACACCAAAGCUAUGCCAUAAAAUCAUCAACACUGUAUAAUUGUUGCUAUUGAAAUGCUUAUGGUUCAUUAUUAAACA
rnacentral:lncRNA from 1 species